UUAAUUCUAGUCUUAUUUGCCUUGUCAAA
rnacentral:sRNA from 1 species